AGACAGGUAUCCGGGGAGAGACGGGUAGAGCCAGAGUUUGAACCCCCUGCCCCGGCCUCGGUGAUAUAAGACUCUGGUGCGUCCGGCUGAUUUAACGCGACCGUGUUUUACGCUCUGAAGCGACGAGCACGGAGGAAACUGGAGCAGAAAAUCUGCCCGCCUCUCCGUGCACUCAAUCAGACCGGACAGGGGAGCAAGGCAUGCUGGGAGGGGGCAUCGGGGUCACCGGGAGCGACGGAAAUGUUCAGGUGAACAGAGUUCAGGUCAGACGAGUGCAGCAGCGACGGAUCAUCAAACACGUCCUGACAGCACGGAGAGCGGUCCUCAAAACGUUCUCCAGGGUUCUACACGGCUCCCAAACGUCCCUGUGUCUCUUUAAUGUCCUCACAUCCCAGACACAUGUUCACAUGUUCAACUGUUUCAUGUCCCCGUAGUGGGGGCUAACCGCUAGCUAACAGCUAGCUAGGCCACGAUUGGUUUCAGGACGGACCUGAAUUUAGUGUAUGACACACCUCUGAUUAAGGUGUCAGCUGAAUGACUUCAUAGAAUAGUAAGAUGUAAACAUGUCCCAAAUGGGGUCAGUGAACGUCCCCACAAGCUGGCGAAAGGUACCCUGAGAGCUUGUCCAAUGGUUUAAUAUUUGACCCUCCCUAGACCCUCACUACACAGUACACACACUCGAUGAAGAUUUUUCGCCAACCAUGACCAUAAGAAGGAGGGGUUGGGGUUUGUUGACAGACCUCAUGUCCAUAUGUCUCUCUCUCUGUCUGUCCCUCUCUCUCUCUCUCUCUGUCUGUCUGUCUCACUCCGUCUCUCUCUCUCAUAUUUUCUGUCUGUUUGUCAAUCUCUCUCUGUCUGUGUGUGGAGGUUUUCUUCCAGAAGCAAAACACUUUGUUAGACCCAUGGACAUAUUGAAGAAUGGACAGCGGACUGAAAAAUGUCCGCCCAUUCAUUCCAAUGAAAACUGCUCAAUGGUGCACAGGAACAUCUUGGAGAGAUUUGCUUCCGCAUCAUGGGCGCCUAGCCACUCCCUCAUGCAUGACGUGCCGGAUGCAGAAAUAUUCUCAUUAACUAGCAUUGUUAGCAUUGUAGCCUCAUCAGCGAGAGAUCUGAGCGUCGCAUUGUUUACCGACAAUAGUAUAAGUUAAUAACUCUCCCCGAUUAAUCUCUCUAUGUGAUCUUUAAAUUACACUCCUGCCAUCUGGACAACAAGAUGGCUUCUUACAUCUCACCCGAAGCUCGAGGCUAGCUCUCGGUGCAAGGAGAAGAGUCAGGGUUUGUUUCGAUCGACUGUGAAGGCCGACAAGUAGCCGUUGGCGUUGUCUGACAAAAAACGUUUUCAUUGUUUGAACCGUCCUGUAAGACAACACAUAGUCGAGACAGUUACGAAGACCCAGACGUCUUCAUCGCUGGUGUUUCUUUGUCUGCUGCGGUGACACAACGCCAACAGAUCCUCCGAGACGCGACCUCAUCGCUGGCCGUCACGUCUGCCACCGAUUGGUCGAUGGUUGGCAGGUUGACUGAAAACUCUUUUGUUUCCGUGGAAGCAUCGUUCCUCAGUAUCCGUCACGCCUCGGCCGCGCUCCCCCGAGGCCGGCGUUACGUAGCCAGCGGGCCGCGGGGCCAGCGGUGCUUCCUGCCAAAUAACGAGCCCUUUUGUCUUCAUGUAGCGUCGCUUUGUGUCUGCUGGGAACAAGGGGUGGCAUUAAGACCGGGCCGCCGCGGCCUGGAGGUCCCAUCGUCCGGCGCAGCCGUCCGUGUCUGGAACGACUUAGCAUCUGUGUUAGCAUCUGUGUUAGCGGCGGGGAACGUCAGCUGGGACAAGUGGGUGAGGUUCUUCACUGAGUGGCGCGGCGGCGCUUAGCAUCUUGACGAGAGGGUCCUAGAGGCUGAGGAGGACUUCAUGAAGGACGGACAAAGAUGGCUCUCUUCCUUUGUCUGUUGUUCGGCCACCAGGCACUGGGAGACUGGGCAGGCCAGUGGGGCUGUACUGGUGUUAGUGGUUAACUAGUAAAAGCGAGGUGCACUUGGCUAUACUGGUGUCAGUGGUUAACCAGUACAGCGAGGUGCACUGGGCUAUACUGGUGUCAGUGGUUAACCAGUAGAGCGAGGCCUGCUGGGCUAUACUGGUGUCAGUGGUUAACCAGUAAAGCGAGGUGCACUGGGCUAUACUCGUGUCAGUGGUUAACCAGUACAGCGAGGCGUGCUGGGCUGUACUGGUGUAAGUGGUGGGUGGCCACAUGGCCUCCACUGUAGAGGAAUCCAUAAAGGGAGGAUGUCUUUGUAUUGACUGCGAGGAUGGAGUCUUCUGGUUCCUCCCCUGCUUAUUAUAGAAUGUAGAAUGUCCCUCUCCCCCUAUAGGGUAGAGUCUGUCGGGGGGGGCUUUAGGGGCUGAAGUCCCCCCCCCCCCCACGGAGGAGACAGAUGGAGGCGUUGUGUGGAAAAUCAGAUCAAGGGAACCAGAACCGUACGCUGGGCCAAAUAGUCCACAGGUGGACGUGUGUGAGCAAGAGGAUUAGAGCGUAUGUGUCAGUGUUAGUGUGUGUGUGUGUGUGUGUGUGUGUGUGUGUGUGUGUAGAUGUCAGUUUAUGUGUGUGUGGGUGUGUUUGGGCUCUGUGUGUUUGUGUUGUGAGGAUGUCAGUGUGUCUGUGUGUGUGUAUCCUUGAGUGAGUGAGUGUAUGUGUGUGUAUGUGUGUGUGUUUGAGGAUGUCAGUGUGUGUCUGUUUUCGUCCUGUCCUCAGUAUUCUCCACCUGCUGUCCAUGAUGCUUUAAGAAUAGAAACCUCCAGUCGAUUCGCUGUGUUUAGGAUGAUGAAGGGGUGAGGGUGAUGAAGGGGUGAGGGUGAUGAGGUGGUGAGGGUGAGAGUGAUGAAGGGGUGAGGGUGAUGAGGUGUUGAGGCUGAUGAAGGGGUGAGGGUGAUGAGGGGGUGAGGGUGAUGAGGUGGUGAGGGUGAUGAAGGGGUGAGGUUGAUGAGGUGGUGAGGGUGAUGAGGUGGUGAGGGUGAUGAGGUGGUGAGGGUGAUGAAGGGGUGAGGGUGAUGAGGUGGUGAGGCUGAUGAAGG
ensembl:lncRNA